rnacentral:rRNA from 1 species
ACUCAAAUGAAUUGACGGGGGCCCGCACAAGCAGUGGAGCAUGUGGUUCAAUUCGAUGCAACGCGAAGAACCUUACCUGGGUUUGAAAGGCAAGUGACCGUCGAUGAAAGUCGAUCUCGUAGCAAUACGCACUUGUACAGGUGCUGCAUGGCUGUCGUCAGCUCGUGCCGUGAGGUGUUAGGUUAAGUCCUGCAACGAGCGCAACCCCUGCACUUAGUUGCCAUCAGGUAAUGCUGGGCACUCUAAGUGGACUGCCUACGCAAGUAGUGAGGAAGGCGGGGAUGACGUCAAGUCCUCAUGGCCCUUACACCCAGGGCCACACACGUGCUACAAUGGUUGGUACAAAGGGCUGCUAAGCCGCAAGGUGGAGCCAAUCCCAAAAAACCAACCUCAGUUCGGAUUGGGGUCUGCAACUCGACCCCAUGAAGCUGGAAUUGCUAGUAAUCGCGGAUCAGCACGCCGCGGUGAAUACGUUCCCGGGCCUUGUACACACCGCCCGU